UGGAUGGAUAUUGAGAGCCCAGGAAUAAAAUGCCAGACACACAAAGCAGACCCAAGCAGAUGGAGUUUCACUCUUGUUGCCCAGGCUGGAGUGCAAUGGCACGAUCUCGGCUCACCACAACCUCCGCCUCCUGAGUUCAAGCGAUUCUCCUGCCUCAGCCUCCCGAGUAGCUGUGAUUACAGAAUGUCUUCCCAGCAUUCACCUGCUCCCCCGUGCUUCUGAGUGUGGCUCCUGAACCAGCAGCAGCAGAGGCGCCUGGGAAGUUGUUAGAGACGCCGACUCUCCAUCCCAAAUCUACCCAGUCAGAAACUCCAGGGAUGGAGCCCAGUAGUAGCAAACCCUCCAGGUGAUUCCGAUGGAAAAGAACGUCUGACACCCAUCGGCACGCCCAAGGACAACUCGCUUCAUCGUUCUGAGCCCAGGUUUCUGUUAGGAGAG